rnacentral:misc_RNA from 1 species
UUAAGUUCAGCGGGUAUCCCUACCUGAUCCGAGGUCAACAUUAUAAAGGAAGGGUUUUUGGUUCGGCGGGACGGGUGACUACGCUUCGCGAUGCAAAAUGCUCACUACGCUGACGUUGACACCGUCGUCCGCCAUUGGAAUUCGGAACGGACCGCCGCGGAGGACGCUCCAGCUCCAAGACAAGCAAUGAUGCUUGAGAG